GUCCACGCCGUAAACGAUGGGUGCUAGGUGUGGGAGGUGUCAACUCCUUCCGUGCCGUAGCUAACGCAUUAAGCACCCCGCCUGGGGAGUACGGCCGCAAGGCUAAAACUCAAAGGAAUUGACGGGGCCCCGCACAAGCAGCGGAGCAUGUGGUUUAAUUCGAUGCAACGCGAAGAACCUUACCAGGGCUUGACAUGCACUGGAAAUCCGUAGAAAUACGGCCCUCCUUCGGGACCAGUGCACAGGUGGUGCAUGGCUGUCGU
rnacentral:rRNA from 1 species